rnacentral:rRNA from 1 species
GGUUAAGUCUCGCAACGAGCGGCAACCCCUAUUGUUAGUUGCCAUCACAUAAUGGUGGGCACUCUAAUGAGACUGCCCGGGUCAACCGGGAGGAAGGUGGGGACGACGUCAAGUCAUCAUGGCCCUUACGCCUAGGGCUACACACGUACUACAAUGGUGCAUACAAAGGGUUGCGAAACCGCGAGGUCAAGCCAAUCCCAAAAAAUGCAUCCCAGUCCGGAUCGGAGUCUGCAACUCGACUCCGUGAAGUUGGAAUCGCUAGUAAUCCCGGAUCAGCAUGCCGGGGUGAAUACGUUCCCGGGCCUUGUACACACCGCCCGUCACACCACGAAAGCUGGUUCUACCCGACAACGGCGGACUAACCCUUCGGGAGGUAGUCGUCUACGGUAGGGCUGGUGAUUGGGGUGAAGUCGUAACAAGGUAACCA